UACGUAGGGUGCAGGCGUUUAAUCGGAAUUACUGGGCGUAAAGCGUGCGCAGGCGGUUUGCUAAGACAGGUGUGAAAUCCCCGGGCUUAACCUGGGAACUGCGCUUGUAACUAGCAGGCUAGAGUGUGGCAGAGGGGGGGUGGAAUUCCACGUGUAGCAGUGAAAUGCGUAGAGAUGUGGAGGAACACCGAUGGCGAAGGCAGCCCCCUGGGCUAACACUGACGCUCAUGCACGAAAGCGUGGGGAGCAAACAGG
rnacentral:rRNA from 1 species